CCCUACUGCCCUAUCGAUGCAUCGACCAACGUUCUCGUGCCUGCUGCCAGAGGUCAGAACCCUCCAGCGCCGCCGCCCCACACGCCGCCGCCGCCACCCACCGACGUCCGCUGGUUGGCGUUGGUCACAUACUGCCGGACGGGGUCGUCCGUCACGGCCACUGGCACGGCUGGCCCCGCGGCCGCCGGCUGUGGCGUCGUGAUCACGUACUGCUGCAUCACCAGCACGGACACCAUCUUGGAGAACUCAGACGACACCAGCAGGUCGCCGAUGGGCCCCAGCUCCGGCGACUCCAUCCACUCCGCGAGCGCCGACGUCAGCGGCGACCCGGCCUCGCCGGGGUGCCUGCCCACGAUGUACAGCUCGUGCGCGCUGUCCAGGCCCCGGAUUGCCGCCAGCGUAUCCUCGCUGUUGGCAACCACCUGCUCCAUGUACAGGAUGGCGUCGUUGCCGAUGUUGCGCACCCGGAACUCGUUCAGGUACUCCUCGUCCAUCUGCCGCUCGCUCUUGGGGACGUCCGGGACGAUGGUGAUGGCGCGCGCGUGCACGUUGGCCGCGGGGCCCCGGGGCGGCAUGGGCUGCGGCGGCGCCAGCGCGGGGGCCUUGUAGCCCGGCGGGAUGAACCGGACGAUGGUGAGGCAGACGCCCGGGUGCUCCACCAUGCGCCACGCGUAGGCCAGCCCCUCGCGGUCGUCGGGCCCGCCGAAGAAGAGCAGCGCCACGUGGUGCACGCUCGCCAUGCGCGCCGCCGCGGCGCUGAGUCCGCGGUCCACGAGGAUGCCCACCGAGCACGGCGCCGACGACAGGAUGCUCUCGUUGAAGCCCCGGAGGGACGCGUUGAUGGGUUCCAUCCCGCCGUCCACCGUCUGCUGCUUGUGGAACGGGAGCACGAUGAGGGACACGUGCUUGUCCUCCGCCAGGAUGGACACGUCCUCGUGCAUCGUCUGGUACGGCGACACCGCCGUCAGCGCCUGGACGGACACGCCGCCCACGCUCUCCUCGUAGCUCUCGAAGGCGUUGAAGAUGUGGUCGCUGGAGCUGCGGCUCUGGUUGGUGGCGGAGUGGUGGGCGGCGAGCAUGUUGGACGCGCGCCCGGUGAGCUCCACGAGGUGCAGCGCGUAGAUGAAGAUGGGGGAGCGCUUGGUUGGGUUAGACAGCUCCAGCAGCGAGAUGAUGGACGGCACGUUGCGAGUGGUGUGCACGCACGCCAGCAUGCGCAGCUCGGAGUCGUGCUUGGACCGCUGCAGGUUGCGCCGCUUGUAGCCGACCAACCGCCGCGCCGGGCGGUACACCGUCGUCACCACCGGCGUCACGAGCGCCGUCAUCGCCACAGACACCAGCACCAUCACCGCGAACGACUCAUCAUCCAGCACCUGGUUUUAUUUCUGUCUGUGGUCAUCCAGUCCAAUAAUGGCAGUUGAUGAAUGAAAUACUGAAAUGACGUGGAGGAGUUGACUACUGACCUCCUUGUCCCUUCCGAUGUUGAGGACGAUCAUCUCCACGAGCCCUCUGGUGUUCAU
rnacentral:misc_RNA from 1 species